UACAGAGGGGGCAAGCGUUGUUCGGAAUUACUGGGCGUAAAGGGCGCGUAGGCGGCCGCCUAAGUCAGACGUGAAAUCCCUCGGCUCAACCGGGGAACUGCGUCUGAUACUGGAUGGCUUGAAUCCGGGAGAGGGAUGCAGAAUUCCAGGUGUAGCGGUGAAAUGCGUAGAUAUCUGGAGGAACACCGGUGGCGAAGGCGGCGUUCUGGACUGCAACUGACACUGUAAAACGAAAGCCAGGGGAGCAAACGGG
rnacentral:rRNA from 1 species